AUUAGAUACCCUAUUAUUCUAAAUGUAGAUGUGAACCCCUGAGUAGUAAUAUAGGAGAGAAACUUACAGAAUUUGGCGGUAUUUUAUCUUAUCAGAGGAACUUGUCUUUUAAUUGAUAACCCCCAUUUUAACUAACUUAGGUUCAAGCUUAUAUACCGCCGUCAUCAGAAAAUGUUGGAAAACAAUAUUCUGGAUAUUUAAAAAAUAAUAUGUCAGGUCAAGGUGUAGUUUAUGCCUAAGUAAAGGUGAGUUACAUUAAUAUAAAUUAAACGGAUCGGGCUUGUAAUAGCUUGUAAAGGUGGAUUUGAAAGUAAAUUUUUAAAGAGAGAAAUAUUGAAAGAAGCUCUAGAAUAUGCACACAUCGCCCGUCGCUCUUAAAA
rnacentral:rRNA from 1 species